UGCCAAAAGAUUCCUAGAAUUACAAUUAAAUAAAUAAAAAUUCUGGAAAUGAUCUUGGCUCU
rnacentral:pre_miRNA from 1 species